GCGAACGCUGGCGGCAGGCCUAAUACAUGCAAGUCGAACGAACCCUUCGGGGUUAGUGGCGGACGGGUGAGUAACACGUGGGAACGUGCCCUUUGGUUCGGAACAACUCAGGGAAACUUGAGCUAAUACCGAAUGUGCCCUACGGGGGAAAGAUUUAUCGCCAUUGGAGCGGCCCGCGUCUGAUUAGCUAGUUGGUGAGGUAAAGGCUCACCAAGGCUACGAUCAGUAGCUGGUCUGAGAGGAUGAUCAGCCACACUGGGACUGAGACACGGCCCAGACUCCUACGGGAGGCAGCAGUAGGGAAUCUUGGACAAUGGGCGCAAGCCUGAUCCAGCCAUGCCGCGUGGAUGAUGAAGGCCUUAGGGUUGUAAAGUCCUUUUAACGGGGAAGAUAAUGACGGUACCCGUAGAAUAAGCCCCGGCUAACUUCGU
rnacentral:rRNA from 1 species